UCACUGGCCUCCAGUAUUCGGACAGUGACCCAAGGCAUUCUAUUGUCGUUUGUCGCGCCCGUUAGUCCGUUCGUGUGCAUAUGUCCUUCCAUCUUGGUUCAGCAUCUGCCACCCCUUUUAGGCUACCAAAAAGGACUUCGUUUUCCCUCUGGUGGUGGGUUUCGGAAGUAGCGUGGGUGGUGGCGUAGUACGGUAGUCUACUAAACUAUGGACUAGACUAACAGUAACUGACGGAGAAAACUGCACGACACUUACGGAAACUACCUGCACUAUUUUAUAACAAAACACGAUACAAAUUCUAACAUAAUCUCAAAAACACUCCACACUGAACUGCGAACACUUACACUCUCCCCCAGCUCGGGUAAAAAAUAUUUACAAAGUAAAUAUUUUUUCCACAGAUUACACAAGACUUCCCCGGCUACACGUACCUCUGAACCUACCAACACAAACCACUCAACACCAGAACAAAUUCACUUCAACCGACGGUAGUUCACAAAACACUUGACUCGAAACGUACUAGAUUAAGUCAUACAGAAAUACAUCAAUGAAACACAUUGUAAAGGACCAGUAAGUACGUUUACAGAGUAUCGGGGUCAUAGGUUUUCAUCGUUGUUACCAACUCCUCACAAUUUAGAGAUUAACUCUGUACUGACCGUCAACGCGAUUGCUCUGGUCUCCAGCGAUCAAAUGCGCAAACAUUGAGCUUGGCAACCUCUUCUAAUACUUACAUUUUGUCCAUACGAUUGUUUAAAAAGCUAUUUACCUAACAAAAUUGAAUGACAACACUAUAUUUACACCACGUUUUUACCAUAUUUACAAGUAUUUACAGAUUAAAAUUUCAUUGAGCAAAGCUACGGUAUAGUACGGUAAAAUAGUGCUUUGAAAUGUUUCACCGGUUUGUCGGAGUUGUGAUCGUUCUAGUACUACCUACUUCGAAUUCCAUCCGAACAAUAGUCCAUUGGUGUGCGUUUGUAUUGAGAUGAUUUCGAACUGUCAAACUAUUGAUUGGUGUGAAAUGGAUGAGAACGGUGAUGAUAUGAUCAGCAUAAGGUAAGUACGAUGAAUUUUAAUUUAAGAAUUAUUUCUUAGCCGGCGAGUGAAAAAUCCCCGUAGAUUGAUGGCCAAAACCAAUCCGGAAAUGGAUCUUCACUGCAAAAGAUUAAAUUCUUGAAUCAGAAUCCAUCAAAUACAAUGAUUUGAGAAUUUUCAUUAAAAGUGAGGUUAUGCAAUUCAGAAAUCUAAAAUUGAUUGAAUGAUUACUUUUUGUCUAUUUUUCUAUAUUUGAUUCAAUUUACUGUGGUUAUUUCUAUUCUUUGGUCUGUGAGUACUAUCAGUCUUCGCCGCAUUUCCUAUUUUUUUGAACUAGUAAAUUCUGAUAACUAACAAUUAAAAAAUGAAAUGAUAAAAAUUAACAAAAUUCUACAAACUUUACAAAACAUGCAAAAACAACAAAUUAAAAUAAUGAAAUGGCCAUCAUGCAAAAUAUAUACAAAAACUUACAAAGAAAUAAUUUCCAAUUGAGGUUAAUUUAUCGAGAAUUUGAUGUUUAGAAGUUCUCCUAGACAAAGCUAUUAACAGGAGUAACUCCGCAAUCAAAUCUCUUUCAACCUUUUUAAAAGCAUACUAUGCUUCUCAUUAUCGAUACAAUUACCAUUCAUCCGCAGCAUCUCCAUUCAGAUUUUCGCUAAGUCUGAUUAGAUGAUUGUUGACAAUCAGACUAGCUACUGAAAACGAGAUAUCUAGCGCAUCAUUCUGUCUCACUCCCACUAUGGGUACAAAGUGAGCAGACAUUCAAAAUACAUGGGCCCAUUAAUCACAUAUUAAAAUCUUCCUAGGUAUUUCUGCAAUUACUGCCUCCGCAGCUUCGAGACAAGAUGACGUCACCUAGGCCAAGCAUCCGAAGAGUGGCUCGUACGAGGACUGGAUGGAAUAGUGUCUCUAGAUGCAGUAUUUACAGAGGGAAUCUAGUCGCCCUACAGACGAUCCUUCCUGUUUUGAGUGACCUGGCACUCGUGUGGUCUCACCGUCUCACUUGUGCUCAUUCAACUGAACGAUGACAGUACGAGUAAUCACCGACUCAGGACGUUUUCUGCACGCCAAUUCGCAAUGGAAUUAGAAUUUAAAAAGAACUAUUUACGAGCUAAAAGUAUCACAGAUUAGAAUUUGAUAACCUAGUAAAUUGAAAAAUGCUAUGAAAUUUGAAAACCUAGUAAAUUUGAAAAUCCUAUUUGCACACGCUUCAAAAGAAGCACACAAAAUUUGUUGUAAAUAAAAAUUAUCGUUCUUUUUGGCCUUUUCAUUUCACACACAUCCGAAAUCACAUCACAACACACUAAAAUUGUUUCAAACAAAAGUAAAAAGUUAAAAAUGACUAGUAUUGAGUUCUAAUGUUCUUUUUGAACAAUCGUUUGUUUGUGUUCAUUGUGUUUCUGGACAACAAAACCCCUCCGUCGCAAAUGAAAUGAUUUUGCGAACUGUGUAAGAAGAAAGAGUAAGUCCAAAUGUGGUAAGUUAAAUUCGUGAAGGCCUGGAAGUUUUACCAGAGACCUCCGUCGAAACCAGUUUGAUCCAGUGCGAUCUUCCGAACUGACCCUUCCAAAAAAACUGUCAAGAAGACGAUUUUAAGUUGGGCGCCAAAGUGAAACUGUCGACUAGCUCAAGAGGGGAGCCUUCCUGAGACUCCCUGAAACAACACCUCAGGGUCGGCAUGCUUCUCGACCAGUUAUUCGCGGGCAGGGAAUAUUCGCACUGUCGUACAGAAAAACUCACGUCACGUUACAUUUACACAU